CUCUCUCUCUCUCUCACCUGGGGUUAGCAUGUGUAACUGUUCGUGGGAGCGGUGCAUCUUUCCACUUCUUUUCCUGAAAUCCAUAUAAAACAAUAUAAGUUCUGUGAUGUAUUAUAAAGAUAAUGAAGUUUAUCAUAUCAUCUAGGACAAAAUCUGGGUUGAAAUAUACCUCUUUGUAAUAGGAAUAAACGGUAACUGGAGACUUAACGUUCCUCCCCAUCCCACAUUUACUGGGGAAAAGGGGGGUGGGGUUAAAACGUGGAACGAAUCUAUGAAAUGAUGUUAUGAGAAGGUCAGCGUUUAGUAAAAUUAAAAGGUUUAUUGUAAACAAAGGAAGCAGAAAUUACUGAUGGAAGGGAGAGUCACCCACAAUAUCCACCGCCUCAUAUGCCCACAAUAUCCACCGCUUCAUAUACCUUGAUAAAUUGCAAAAAAAAUUGUUCUGAUUGGUGCUUGAACGUCAAUAUUGAUAAAACUAAAGUUUUAAUCUUUAAUAAAGCAGGAAGAUUUCUCAAGCAAAAAUUUUAUUUUGGAGAAAAGGGAAAUACAGUGUGUCCCCUCUUACAGAUAUUUGGGAAUAUAUUUCAAUACAGCUGGACAUUUUUCUAAUGCUUAAGAGGAUCUGUACAAAAAGGCAAUGAAAGCAUAUUUCAAAUUACAUAAAGAUUUUUUAUCAUUACAACCUAGCACUAAAACACCCCUUCAUGUCUUUGAUCACACAAUCAAGCCAAUAUUACUCUAUGGCAGUGAGAUUUGGGGAAUUUUUAAUCGCCCUUCUUUUUUCAAUCGCAAUGAUAUCUCUUUAUAUGAUUUUUACUCUAAAUCAAAAUGUGAAAACCUCCAUGUGAAAUUCUGUAAAUUCAUUCUAGGUCUUCAUAGAAAAAGCUCAAACUUUGCAACACUAUCCAAACUUGGCAGGUUUCCACUACAUUUUGAUGUGAAAAAUAUAAUACAAUAUGUAAACAGAUUAGAAAAUCUGGGUACUUCUUUUCCUCUACUAAAUGUUGCAUAAAUGCAAAGUAAGCGUAAUGCUUGUACAUUAAAAUCGCAGUCAUGGUAUGGUGUCGUACAAAAGUUAUUUGGAAUUGUUGGAAUUAGAAACAAUCAUAUUGCAAUCAAUAACCUAUAAUUUUUUAAGAAAAAAUGUAAGGAAUUGUUAUGCCAUCAUUAUUUGAAAGAAUGGGGAUAUGUCAGAAGUUUACAAUAUGGAAAACUUGAAACUUAUGUUAAAUUUAAAACUAAUUUUGUUUUUGAAAACUACCUAACACUCUUACCACCUGUACAACGUAAAGCACUUACAAGAUUACGUACAUCAGCGCACAAUUUACCAGUAGAACGAGGUCGUUAUACAGGAAUCCCUAGACAUUUAAGAUUUUGUACAAAGUUUUCUUGUAAAAUUGGUGAUGAAAUUCAUCUAAUUUUUGAAUGUUUAACUUAUAACUCACUCAGACAGAACAUGUAUAAAAUUAUAAAACAACAAUGUGAACAUUUUUCCAGUCUUGACAACAUGAAUAGAUUAAUAUGGUUACUCAAUAUUGUGAAAAUACUGAUGUACUUGUAGCCCUUUGGGAUUUGAUUAAAGAAGCAAUAUAAAAUGAAUCAUGUGAAAGUUCAAACCAAUAUGUUUAUACAUAAUUAUGCACCCAUUGUAAACAUGACAUGUUGACUUAGUACCAAUGCACCGUCCCGUGGUAUCUUUCGCAUUACAGUCAGUCAUAUGUACUUGUACUAGGUGUCUUUUACUAUUAUUAUGUGUCAUUGCAUAUAUUGUUAUUAUUUUCUUCCUGUGUGCAUUUCUGACUGUUUUGCAUUAGGAUACACGGUGGUACUUACAUAUAUUACAUCAAGUAAUGUCUCGUGUUAUGUACAUUGUCUAAGCUCAUACUACUAGUAUUACUGUAUAUCAUGUGUGAACCAUAUGAAACCAUAUUUGCACAUAUGCACUCAUUAUAAUCAUGCCAUGUUGACCUAGUACCAAUACACCGUCCCGUGGUAUCUUUUCCAUUACAGUGGAGUAUUAAUCAUGUGUACUUAUACUACCUUUACUAUUAUUAAAUGUAGUGUUGUUAUGUACAUGUAUAUAUUUUUAUUUUAUUUUUUCUGUGUGUAUUUCUGACUGUUUUGCAUUAGGAUACACGGUGUUACUUACAUGUAAUACAAAUAAGUAUUAUCAUAUUCAAAAUGUCUCAUGUAUGAACAUUGCUCAUAUUAAUAGUGCAUAUUUUGCUCUUGUUUUGUUCUUUUCUUUUUAUCAUAAUUUUUUUAAAAUAAACAUUGCACAUUGAAAUGUUAACAAUCAUGUAUGCUGUAUGCCCGAAAGGGCCCUAAUUUGGAAAUAAAUCAUAUUCUGUUC